AGGGCACCACCAGGAGUGGAGCCUGCGGCUUAAUUUGACUCAACACGGGAAAACUUACCCGGCCCGGACACUGGCAGGAUUGACAGAUUGAGAGCUCUUUCUUGAUUCAGUGGGUGGUGGUGCAUGGCCGUUCUUAGUUGGUGGAGCGAUUUGUCUGGUUAAUUCCGAUAACGAACGAGACUCUAGCCUACUAAAUAGGCCACCGGCUUACUGACGUCGGUGGGACUUCUUAGAGGGACAGGCGGCGAUUCAGCCGCACGAAACAGAGCAAUAACAGGUCUGUGAUGCCCUUAGAUGUCCGGGGCCGCACGCGCGCUACACUGAAGUGAUCAGCGUGCAUUACAAACCUGCUCCGUCAGGAGUGGGGAACCCAAUGAACCUUCUUCGUGAUUGGGAUAGGGGAUUGUAAUUAUUCCCCUUGAACGAGGAAUUCCCAGUAAGCGCGAGUCAUAAGCUCGCGUUGAUUACGUCCCUGCCCCUUUGUACACACCGCCCGUCGCUACCUACCGAUUGGAAUUG
rnacentral:rRNA from 1 species